rnacentral:rRNA from 1 species
CCUACGGGAGGCAGCAGUGAGGAAUAUUGGUCAAUGGACGGAAGUCUGAACCAGCCAUGCCGCGUGCAGGAAGACGGCUCUAUGAGUUGUAAACUGCUUUUGUACAAGGGUAAACCUGAAUACGUGUAUUCAGCUGAAAGUACUGUACGAAUAAGGAUCGGCUAACUCCGUGCCAGCAGCCGCGGUAAUACGGAGGAUCCAAGCGUUAUCCGGAUUUAUUGGGUUUAAAGGGUGCGUAGGCGGAUUGAUAAGUUAGAGGUGAAAUGUCCGAGCUUAACUCGAGAACUGCCUCUAAUACUGUUGGUCUAGAGAGUAGAUGCGGUAGGCGGAAUGUAUGGUGUAGCGGUGAAAUGCUUAGAGAUCAUACAGAACACCGAUUGCGAAGGCAGCUUACCAAUCUAUAUCUGACGUUGAGGCACGAAAGCGUGGGGAGCAAACAGGAUUAGAUACCCGGGUAGUC